rnacentral:tRNA from 1 species
UGGGGAAUAGUUUAGUGGUAGAACUCGCGACUCUGACUCGUGCAGCCUAGGUUCGAAUCCUGGUUCCCCAGCCA